UACAGACAGAAGCAGGGCAAUCAAUAGACAGCUCCAAAGGAAAAAGGAAGAGGAGGGGGAAAGGAGAAAGGUGUACCACAAAUGAGGAGGGAGGAAUAUGUAGAAAAGCAGAUGAGGUUAUUCAACAAAAGAAGGUCCUCCUUCUCCAAAGUCACAAUAACCUUGUCUAACACAUCCUCUUCCACAGAAACACACUGUAGUUACAAAUACAAACUGAAAGAACAGUAAGCAAGAACCUUUAGAAGUCCAAAAGCCAUUAAAUAAUUAAAUAAGUGCUAUUGAUCCGUGCCCCUUAUCUGAAUCUGUAAGUCUCUACAGCUAAAGCACCUUUAUCUGAUCUUGCUCCCAUUAGAAGAUCAGGGAGACUUGAUGCUUGGGGCAAGAAACAAACAAGCAAUGUUUUUUUUUUAUCUUUUAUAAAGAUAUUGGAAAUACAAACAAGGCAUCCAUUUCAAAACCCACUGUAAAUGUAGAAAAAGGGGAAAAUCAAGGGACUUCAGCAAACUUCUGUUUCAUUUGAUAUUUUACUCAGAGCAUUUUGAAUAGAUUAAUGGAGUAGUUCAUCCAAAAAGCUGCACGUUUGUAGUGAACAAAUCCAUCAUUAAAAUGCUUCCAGUGGAAAACAUUGUUUCGUCUGAAUCAGGAGAGAAAUAUGCACAGAUCAAGCACCAUUUACAAGUGAAAGCAGUCCAGUGUAAUUCUAUACAAAUAUGUUAGUAGAUUUUGAUGUGACAGGGCAACAGAGGAUGGACUUUUUCACUGGAGGAAGCGUUAUUAUAAAUUACAGACUGGUAUUUUGGCCAGAAGUGAUGAUUUAAAGUUAAAAUGCUAAAGUUGAAUUGUUAAAUUUUGUUUAUUAUAAACACACAGCUUUUCACUUCACAAGAUAUUAAAUAAUGGAUUACAUGUGAAU
rnacentral:lncRNA from 12 species